ACAAGGUUUCCUUAGGCCAGAAGGUGCUUUUGGCCAUUCCUUUCCUUGAAAUAGAGCCCACAGCACUGGCUCAUCGUUGGUGGUCUCCCAUCCAAGUUCUCUCCAGGGCGGACCCUGCUUAGCCUCCAAGGCCAGCAACGACCUGAGAAACUGCAAGUCGCUUCUGGUGUGAGAGAAUUGGCUGCCUGCAAGGACGUUGCUCAGGGGACGCCUGGAUGAUUUGAUGUUUUUAUAAUCCUUAUGGGAGGCUUCUCUCAUGUCCCCGCAUGAGGAGCUGGAGCUGAUAGAGGGAGCUCAUCCGCCUCUCCCCGGAUUCGAAUCUGCGGCCUGUUGGUCUUCAGUCCUACCGGCACAGGGGUUUAACCCACUGCACCACCGGGGCCUCCAGUAUAUAGCUCUGUAUAUAUCUAUCUCCAUCUCUAUGUAUGAAUUAGUGCAGAGCUAAGUAAUCCUAUAUUUACUUUAUGGUGGGUACAUAUAAUGACAUUUUGUUCAUUGUAUUAUAUUCAUGUGUUAUGUUUCUCUAUCUCUGUAUUUAUAAUAUACUGCCACGCAUUGCUGUGGCCCAGACUAGUGAUCUGGAAAAUAAAGUAAUGAGAAAGUG